rnacentral:rRNA from 1 species
UACGGGGGGGGCAAGCGUUGUUCGGAAUUACUGGGCGUAAAGGGCUCGUAGGUGGCCAACUAAGUCAGACGUGAAAUCCCCUCGGCUUAACCGGGGAACUGCGUCUGAUACUGGAUGGCUUGAGUUUGGGAGAGGGAUGCGGAAUUCCAGGUGUAGCGGUGAAAUGCGUAGAUAUCUGGAGGAACACCGGUGGCGAAGGCGGCAUCCUGGACCAACACUGACACUGAGGAGCGAAAGCCAGGG